rnacentral:rRNA from 1 species
UAAGUGAUGGCGACCGGCGCGCGGGUGAGUAACACGUAUCCAACCUGCCGAUAACUCGGGGAUAGCCUUUCGAAAGAAAGAUUAAUACCCGAUGGUAUAAUAAAGCCGCAUGGUUUAAUUAUUAAAGAAUUUCGGUUAUCGAUGGGGAUGCGUUCCAUUAGGCAGUUGGUGAGGUAACGGCUCACCAAACCUUCGAUGGAUAGGGGUUCUGAGAGGAAGGUCCCCCACAUUGGAACUGAGACACGGUCCAA